GAUGAGCGCUGGCGGCGUGCCUAAUACAUGCAAGUCGAGCGAACGGACGAGAAGCUUGCUUCUCUGAUGUUAGCGGCGGACGGGUGAGUAACACGUGGAUAACCUACCUAUAAGACUGGGAUAACUUCGGGAAACCGGAGCUAAUACCGGAUAAUAUUUUGAACCGCAUGGUUCAAAAGUGAAAGACGGUCUUGCUGUCACUUAUAGAUGGAUCCGCGCUGCAUCAGCUAGUUGGUAAGGUAACGGCUUACCAAGGCAACGAUGCAUAGCCGACCUGAGAGGGUGAUCGGCCACACUGGAACUGAGACACGGUCCAGACUCCUACGGGAGGCAGCAGUAGGGAAUCUUCCGCAAUGGGCGAAAGCCUGACGGAGCAACGCCGCGUGAGUGAUGAAGGUCUUCGGAUCGUAAAACUCUGUUAUUAGGGAAGAACAUAUGUGUAAGUAACUGUGCACAUCUUGACGGUACCUAAUCAGAAAGCCACGGCUAACUACGUG
rnacentral:rRNA from 1 species